rnacentral:misc_RNA from 1 species
GAUUAAGCUAAGCGUUUUCCUUUAUGGGUACCACUCAAAAUAAUGAAAAUUAGCGAGAAUCUUUGGAUUUUGAGGGCUAUAGAUGGAUAAGUCUAUGGUGCUGUGAGAAGAGGUUACGAGAGGAGGAGAGAUUUUGGCAUCAAAAGCUUUGAUUUUCUGAGCGGGGUUUCCUCCGUAGACGAUGGUUAAGGGUUGUUUGAUGGCUGCAAAUGGGCACCCUCCUGGUCCUGGGCUAGUCUUUUAUCAAGAGCAGACUAGGGUCUUCAAGGUAACCUUUGAAGUUACAGUUCACGUUAGUAUUAAUUAUUAUUUAUUUAUGUAUACUGUGGUUAUAUUUGGAUUUUGUUGCUGUUGAUUUUGGUUUUUCUGUUUGUGUUACGGUAAUAAAGAUUUCCUCGGGCUCGGUGUUUCUAUUAUCCUUUUUUCUCAGUUCUUAUUGACUGUGAUGCGAUUAAUGAUGUGUGAAAGAAGAAAGCAGCAUUUCCUGCUUCUUUUUGAUUUAUGCCUGUUCAAAUCAAUAUUUCUGUUUCGUCAACUGCAAGUUUGAGACUGUUAUUUAUAGAUUUCCAGGCCUACAGCUUCAUAAAAAGGGUCAUUUAGUUUGUGUUUUAUCCAUUUGUUUGAACGAUGAUGCAAUAACGUUUAUGAUGAUCUUUUGAUCUUUGGAUAUACGAUAAUGAAAGAUGCAACUAACCAUUUAGGAUACUUUCCAAACUAUGCAAUCUGCCUGUGACUAGUAGAUGGUUUUACUGUUAAUUUUAAGGGGGUUUUCAAGUGCACUGGUAAAAUUCCUGGGCCUGCAGCCGAGAAGUUGCAGGACUGUCUCGAGUUCGUUUCCAUGACCCGCUUUGGCGGGACCAUAUCUGGGACUGCCAGCCCUAUUUUCCAAGUCAGGGAGCAAGACAUGAGAUAAAAAGACCAAGCUCUCUUAGUCUGAGGCCAUGUCAGCACGAUGAAUCAUGGAAACCCAUGAGUGGAUACUAUGAGCAUAACCAGUUUGCCAAGAUUGACUCAACAGCUGGAUGGCCUUUACUCAUUGAUGUGGAAGACACUUGCUUGGACUCGUUACUCUUUAGCUCUGGCAUAGCUGAACAAUGUACAAAACAUGAGAAAAUCUUGAAGUUUCUCACAUCUGGAUCAAGUGAAAUAGAAAAAGGUGGAUUGGAUUUAUCUUUACUAUCUGACUUGAUGGAUCUUCAGGCAUUGACAUUGGAUGUGAGUCAACAGCCCUGCGCUUCUCUCAUAUAUCCAAGGGGUAAAUGUGAUGCCCCAAAGCCUUUAGUGGAUUUUAUGGGAGACAUGGCCCGUAGUUCUAAAAUUACAGUUCAUCCAGAUGGUCGAUUAUUGUUCACUGGCAAUGGGUCAGAGAUGAAGGAUAUUCUCUCGAUUGUUGCUGAGUUUUACUUGACAAAAAACUCAACUAAGUGGACAAAGCAGUCGGUGCUUAUCCCCCAUUUUAGCUGGUAUGGAUAAUUGGACCUGGUUGAUUUAAAUCAGAAGCAUUUGUGGCUUGCCAGUUCUAAAUCAAUAGCAUUUAAAUAUUUUAAGGUUCAACUUGAAUGAAUUGCUUGUUCUCCCUUUUCAUUUACUAUUUUAAGCAGCAUAAUGCAUUUGAUGACUAUUUUCAGUAGCCAUAUGACCUUGACUCAUGAAUUUGAUCCGUAAAAUUGCUAGUUGCCUCAAAAUUUGGGGGUUGCCCCAACUACCACUCUAUUUUACUAUUUUAAGCAGCAUAAUUCAUUCUCAAUUUAUAUGGCUUCUGAUUUCUAUUUAGAGUUGGAAUUAGGGUUUCUAAUCAUAAUGUAACUAAGGCUACAUGUCUCUAUAAAUAGGUUUAGGAUCUCUACAUAUUUAUAGAUUUUAUAAUGAUUAUUGACUAUAAAGCAAAUAAAUUGUGAAUUAGUUUCUCUUAUUUGACCCAACCCCCCUAAUACCUAUUGGUUAUACGUCACAUGCUAAUUUUGUGUUCUAUUUGUACUAUCUUCAUAAUAUCCUGUCUCUCCCUUCAUUUUUCUCUUAAAGUUAGGUUUAAUUGGGGUGCAAAGAUUAUCUAAUUUGAGACAAUACUAUGCUAUCUUUUGUUAAUGGAGAUGGAUGAAAACUAACGCAUGUAUGAUAACCCUUGAAUGCCGUCAUAAUUGCAGCGUGAAUCUUGUUGUAAUCCAUUGUUUUCUUAUUUCAUAUACUCAUCAUAGUAUGACAUUGUGAAGUCACAAUUAUCUUGACUCAUUGCUUCUAAAGGCUGCUGGAAUUUAGCAAACAUAUUUUAGAAUUUAAGAUUUGCCGUUGGUAAUCGCUUUCCUGGUACUUUACCUAUUAGUAUUUAUUUCUCUGUUCUGGGUGGUAACGAAGACAUCUCACCUUUUUAAAUCAUCUGAUUGAACAGGCCUAAUACAAGUGAGGCACAGGCUAAUAUUCUUAGUUCUUCUUUGAAGGUUAAAGAUGUGACAGCUACACCCUUGAAGAGUCCUGAGAAAAUCAAGCUCAAGCCAUCAUCAAAGAAGAAGAAUGGCAGGAAAGUUGGCAGGGGGAGGGAUCUCUACAAAAGGAACUACUUCCAUGCAUGUGAGAGCCUUCUCUCCUUGAUGAUGGACAAGCAGCAUGGCAAAACAGCAAUCCUGUCAUUAAAGAAAUCCGGCCCUGAACUUCCCGCGCUAUUGACCAAAUUCUCUGCUGGCAUUGCUGGGACUGGCCUUGCAGUUCUUUUCUCCGUAGCAUGUAAAGUAGCUUGUGGGAGGGUUCCAUUCUGUGCAUCUAAACUCUUUAACACUGGAUUUGGAUUUGGGCUGGUCUGGCUUUCUUGGGCUGUAAAUAGACUGAGGGACACAAUUGUCUGUACAAGCAAGAAUGCAAGCAAGUUGGGUCUGAAGGAUGAGGAAAUGCUGAGGAGUGUAGAUAAAAGCAUUAAAGACGUAUACUUCAGAGCUGCAACUUUGAUGGCGAUAGCUGUGCUGAAGCUUGCAUGAGCGUGGACUGGCUGUUAUGCAAUAUCGUAUAGAAGCUGAGGGUUUGCAUGACAUUAGAAGCUGAUGACUAUAACUGUAAAUGAUGUAGCUAACAGUUAUACUUAGGGAUGAUUAGAGGGCUCAAGCUUGUUGCACUUGCAAGGAUGUCUCGGAUUGGCAGACUCGCGUCAUACCAGGUAAGAGACGAGAAAUCUUACCCUUGGGCAUGUAUCUUGGCUGUGUUGGGUAGGAUUCUUCAAGCAGUCAGGUCCUUGACAUGACGUUGAGCUCCGAUGAGACUGAGUGGUGCCCCAUUGUCGGUUAAGCUUUUUUCUUUUUUUUUUUUUUUUUCUUUUUUAUUUUUUUUUUUUUUUUU